UGUUACUGCCUAGGUGAAUAAAAUGGCUUCUCUGCACUGUUAACUGCUGAGACAGUGGUUCUCUAUAGCAGUAUGUUUGGAUUAUAAUUAGUGAUAAUGGGACUUCUAUUCAUUUGUUAACCAAAUGGGAUAGAUGUUAUUCUCUCUGUCUGUGUGAAAGCUGUUAGUUUGCGUGGGCUUCGGGGGAGAAGGCGCGAGGAGGAUGAAGAGAGAAGAGGUGGCUUGAAGAGAUGGUUGCGGGACCCGCUGGGCCUGGGCUCGGGGCGGGAGCCCAAUGGUUGACGACAAGCGAAGGAGGAUCAGCGAAAGGGAAUCUUGAACGACGGAGUAGAGGGAGACAGAGUAGGAAGGCUUCGGCUCCUGAGACUUCAGCAAGCAGAGGCUGAGGACCAGCUUCACUCCAAGUGAGUUUCACUCCUUAUUCCUAUGUCACACCAUUGAGUCUGCAAUAAAACCAAGGAGCUCGGAGGCUAUACCCUGACCGUCAUGUCAUUUUUGAAUUGUGUUUGGCUGACUGUCUGGUUGAUGUUACAACACCUCAGUGAGGCCAGUACACCAUCACAUCAUGGCUUAUCUAGCAGUAGUAAAGAGCAAUUAUAGAGCAUAGGGAGCCAUUUUGAUCAAAGAUAAUAAGACGUCUCUGUGAAAAAGGAAAUGGAUUAAGCUGAGAGAAAAGGACAAGUGGAUUACUACACUCUGAUGAAACUGGCUGCAGCUGGAAACCCAGAAUGCACAUGAAUUAUUGUAAUAAAACUGCAUCAUUUCACAAAUUGAAUCUGAUAUUUAUAACUCGCAGUGCUGCAAUCAUAAUCAAAUGUUCAAAUGAAACUGAUUUUCCUCUGUAUUGCUGUUGGGAUUUGGAACACUAACAUCUGCUGAGUGAAGUUACUCAUCAUAUUACAUCUGCAGUUAAAACCAGAUCCUAAUAUUGCUCAAUGGAAUAUGAGAAAUUUCAGUGUUUUUUUUUUCUCUCAGCAAGUGCAAA